rnacentral:rRNA from 1 species
UACAGGGGUCUCAAGCGUUGUUCGGAUUCAUUGGGCGUAAAGGGUGCGUAGGCGGCGCGGUAAGUCGGGUGUGAAAUCUCGGAGCUUAACCCCGAAACUGCAUUCGAUACUGCCGUGCUUGAGGACUGGAGAGGAGACUGGAAUUUACGGUGUAGCGGUGAAAUGCGUAGAUAUCGUAAGGAAGACCAGUGGCGAAGGCGGGUCUCUGGACAGUUCCUGACGCUGAGGCACGAAGGCCAGGGGAGCAAACGGG